rnacentral:rRNA from 1 species
GACAGAGGCCCCAAGCGUUAGGCGGAAUCACUGGGCUUAAAGCGUGUGUAGGCGGAUCGUUAAGUGUCUUGUGAAAUCCCACGGCUCACCCGUGGAACUGCUGGGCAUACUGGCGAUCUUGGGCCAACUAGGGGCAGUCGGAACAAGCGGUGGAGCGGUGAAAUGCGUAGAUAUCGCUUGGAACGCCGACGGUGAAAACAGACAGCUGGGAGUGUGCUGACGCUGAGACACGAAAGCCAGGGGAGCGAACGGG